CUUAGAAUAGUCCUGUAAGAGAAUGGUAAGGAAGCAAAGAGAAAACUGCAAGUUACAAAUGACGCAAGGCAGAGCUCCGAUGCACCUCCUAUCCUUAGGAACUUGCUAGGUGUUCAGCGGUAAACGUUUUUUGACAGUACAGGUACUUUUGCUGUCUUGCAAAUAAAAAUUUAAAUCUCAAACUUCAAAGGAGGCAACUCAGAUGGCAUGUUAAUAUAUUUUAAAUAUUUAAGAUGUAUAUCCUAAGGCUAAACAAAAUUUGUCUCAGUGUGAAAACAAGUUCUUUCUAAUGAAAAAACAGUCAAGGACUUUACUCAGAUGAUAGAUUACUUUCCAAGUGGGUAGACUGCACCCUCCUACAGUGGCAGAAUAUGGUCUCAUCUUCCAAGGGAACAGAAUUACUGCACAUGAGGAUUAUGGAUUAUCUGCACAAAUUUGGGCUUUCCAGAAAUAUCAGGUUCACUAUAACUGCACUACAAGAUAAAUCUCUGCCUGCUUUUUAAGCACAACAGAUGAGCACAGGCCACCACUAUCAGAGAAUCUUACGCAGUCUGUGUCUUGUUUCUGUUGUUCCCGAAAGCUCCUCAGACACAGGUAAGAGGUGGCUGUAUAUAGAUGAUUUUUUUCACCAGCAGCAAUUGUCUUUCUUGGUGACCUACAGCCACCCCAUCACUUGGCAGAGGCGCAGUCAGAAAAAAUGCUGAUUGAGUACGAGCUUCUCCUACCGAAAGAACAGAUCAAGUAUUUUCCAAGAAAAUGGGUCUGAUAAGCAACAAAUAACAUGUGAGCAGCAAGAUGACUGAUCUUCUGAAAAGAUCUUUUGAAAAGCAGUGUGGAAGGGGAGAAUGGUUCAUUUCUGGGCCUCACUGACGUGACAUGCUGUCUCACCUUAUCAGUCAAGCAGUUGACCACCACAGAGGAAUGGGGCAUAUAUGUCUUCCUGUGGUUUUAUCUAGCUGGCAUGCUGGAAACCUGUCCUGCAUCAGCUUCCCCAGCCAUAAAAGCAAGUGCAGACAACAAUCAAGUGCUGAAUUUUGCCAGGGAACCCAAACAGAUGUGAAAUCAGACUCGACAGAGCACACACAAACCUGCCGACCAACCUAAAAACAGUCUUUAUUGCCAGUUAAGGCUGUCGCUGCCGAGGCAUCUGAACGUGCCCGGUGUAGUUCACCGUGCCUGCAGGCAGACGGAGAUAGCAAGGCAGAUUUGUGCAAACCCGGAUAUCGCCUCGAACGGGGACAGCAAGUGGAGAAACAGAAAAAGCAAGCACUGAAUAACAGAGUAACGCUGUCAAGAUCAUGGAGCUUCUAAUACCGCCUUUUGAGGUUUAGACUGAGAAAACAGCAGUUGAUGCACCAGCAUUAAACCCACCACUUCUUGAAUUGCUCCAGGCUAACUCGUGGGACACACAACACAAUGGCAGGUCUGAUCCAUGCUUCCCCAAAACCAAAACAAAUGUAUCCCAUACAAACAAAGCAUGUUUAGCUGUCUCAUCCCCCUUUUCACAGAUAUUAUAUGGUGUAAGGAAUUCCCAAUGCAAAAAAAAAUAGGUUUCAUCACUUACAAGUGUAUUUUUGCACCUGAAAUUUGUUUUGAUUAAGAAAAUACAUGCUAUGCAGUUUAAAACUAAGAUACAAAACAAUACUGGAAUGCUUAAUGAAGCUCUUGAUUAGAAACAAAUAUUGCCCAAAACAUCAGAUCUUUCAGAAUACCAGGCAUUUUUGAAGGAAGCGUUUUAUUCAAUUCAUAACCGUGUAUCCAAAAGGCUGAUACAAUGGCAGGUGAUCAUACCCAGUCUGAGCAGAUUUCAAUACUCAGUUUCGAAAACCCGAACACUUCUUGAUAGCAGUGCAUUUUUAUUGAUGCUAAUUUUCUGUUUGGUGGCGCAGGCACUAUAGGAUGCUAGGUAAGUACGCUAUGAGUCUGUAGGAUAAUUCUGAAUUCCACGCCUGUUUCGCUUGAAUGACUUUGAAAUAAGUAAGCACUGAGUAUCAGCCGAAAGAAAUCCGCUUUGCAUGAUAGAAUGUCUUUGAAAAGUUACACAGUGACACACUAGAAGGUUUAGAAACAAAGGGAAGAACUGUGUUUAUACAGCCAAAGAGAUGGGAAAAGAUGGGCCUUAUUGACACAUGUCAGUAAGUCUAUUGCCAUGGGGCAAGCAGAUUUCCAUCAGGAUCAAGAUAAGAAACACUAAUGAUCUACUCGGGGAAGAGAAGCUAAAGCACUUGCGUGAGGAUCAUCAGCUGUGGAGGAAAGCCUAUUUCCUAGAGGGAGUACAAAUGAAGAAUUUCACAGACAGAAUUCUUCGCUGGAACAUAAGGGAUCUCUGUUACACUGGUAGAGGGGAAAAAAAAAAAAAAAAAGUCCUUCAAGGAAAAGUUGUGUGGAAUUAAAGUUUUUUAAGAUUAAAACAGUAAGAGAGUGAGCGCGAUGUGGCCAUCUUGCUGGACCUCUAGCAAAAUUUCUGGAUAUCCUAGUUAGAGCUUUCCUGAAUGACAGAAACUGAAAGUGGCAGGCUUAAGGGCCAUCCAGAAAACCUGAAAAUACAUGUUAAUUAUAUAUUUAAGUCUAAAUGGUAGUUGACUGUCUUUCUCUGAUAUUCUACUAUCUAAUCAAUGUUUUUAUGAUUGCAUGCUUUUGCUGUUCAGUCAAAAAUUUAAGGAAGAUGGAACAAAACCUCAUGAAGUGAUAGAUGCAAUGUAUUUAUUUAUCGCUAUUUUUGAUGAAGCUCAGUGUAAUUUAUGAUGUUUAUACUUAAUUAAAGCUUUAGUUAUAAUAUUUUUGGUAACACUGUAAGAGCAAAAUCAUAAAGAUUCAGGAAGUCAUAGGUUUCACAGAGUAGAGUAGCUAUGCUAUAAUGAUACAGUUUAUAUUGUAUUCAUUUAAAGUAAAUAAAUUUAAAGUUCUUAAUUAAAAUAGAGCAACUAUUAAAUAAACUGGAAAAUAAUAAACGUAAAUUGAUUAUAUCUUUGAUGUUAUACAACGGAUUAAAUCCAGUGUUUUAAAAUCACAUUAGAGAGGAUGUGAAAAUUAUGUUCCCUUUUCCAGACUUUAAUAUCACUCAUUUAAACUCUUUAAUUAAAAUGCAAAUUCAUCUAUAGAGCAGAUGGAAAGACAAAAGCUUUGGUGAAUAUGGAAUAUUUGAGAAAUCAUUAGCCAACAUCAUAGCACAUUAGAUUACUGCUACUGAAUUGGAAUAUAAUGUUCACCAUGAUAAAAAGAUUAUAAAUUAAAUCAGAUGGCUGUACCACCUAGUGUUUUAAUUUCCGCAAACUUCACUCUGAAACA